rnacentral:snoRNA from 10 species
UGGACCAGUGAUGGUGACUGGUGGUGUGUGAGUCAUGCACAGUGAAUAUCAUGUGUCUGGAACUCUGAGGUCCAA